CACGUAGGGGGCAAGCGUUGUCCGGAUUUAUUGGGCGUAAAGAGCUCGUAGGUGGUUCGGUAAGUCGGGUGUUAAACCCCCAGGCUCAACCUGGGGACGCCACUCGAUACUGCUGUGACUAGAGUCCGGUAGGGGAGCGUGGAAUUCCUGGUGUAGCGGUGAAAUGCGCAGAUAUCAGGAGGAACACCGGUGGCGAAGGCGGUUCUCUGGGCCUGUACUGACGCUGAGGAGCGAAAGCGUGGGGAGCGAACAGG
rnacentral:rRNA from 1 species